rnacentral:lncRNA from 1 species
GCAGACCCUUCAGUGGUGGGGUAACUUUGGACGAGCAUCGGCAUGGGAAUAAGCUCUGCAGAUACAAGCACUUUCCUCCUAGCAGAGCAGCAGCCACAAAGAAGGCUUGUCCCSACUGAACCGCAGUGAAAGGGGCACAGUGUUUGCCCACAGGGUGCAAUCCAAGUGCUGGUGGAGUCAAGGCGUACUUUAAAAGGAGMUGGAUUUGCGGAAUACUUUUAAUAGAAAUUUACUCAUCCUUGCAUAUGCUACCCCUCUUGGCUGAGAUCCGUAUUUUUCACAGGAUGGAAAAGUGCCAUUGACUAACUGAUCAGACCCAGGCAGUCCUUUGAGUCACCAU